GUCUCAAAGAUUAAGCCAUGCAUGUCUAAGUAUAAGCAAUUAUACCGCGAAACUGCGAAUGGCUCAUUAAAUCAGUUAUCGUUUAUUUGAUAGUACCUUACUACUUGGAUAACCGUGGUAAUUCUAGAGCUAAUACAUGCUAAAAAUCCCGACUUCGGAAGGGAUGUAUUUAUUAGAUUAAAAACCAAUGCCCUUCGGGGCUCACUGGUGAUUCAUAAUAACUUCUCGAAUCGCAUGGCCUUGCGCCGGCGAUGGUUCAUUCAAAUUUCUGCCCUAUCAACUUUCGACGGCUGGGUCUUGGCCAGCCAUGGUGACAACGGGUAACGGAGGGUUAGGGCUCGACCCCGGAGAAGGAGCCUGAGAAACGGCUACUACAUCUAAGGAAGGCAGCAGGCGCGCAAAUUACCCAAUCCCGACACGGGGAGGUAGUGACAAUAAAUACUGAUACAGGGCUCUUUAGGGUCUUGUAAUUGGAAUGAGUACAAUUUAAAUCCCUUAACGAGGAACAAUUGGAGGGCAAGUCUGGUGCCAGCAGCCGCGGUAAUUCCAGCUCCAAUAGCGUAUAUUAAAGUUGUUGCAGUUAAAAAGCUCGUAGUUGAACCUUGGGCCUGGCUGGCCGGUCCGCCUCACCGCGUGCACUGGUCCGGCCGGGUCUUUCCCUCUGGGGAACCGCAUGCCCUUCACUGGGUGUGUCGGGGAACCAGGACUUUUACUUUGAAAAAAUUAGAGUGUUCAAAGCAGGCCUAUGCUCGAAUACAUUAGCAUGGAAUAAUAGAAUAGGACGUGUGGUUCUAUUUUGUUGGUUUCUAGGACCGCCGUAAUGAUUAAUAGGGACAGUCGGGGGCAUCAGUAUUCAAUUGUCAGAGGUGAAAUUCUUGGAUUUAUUGAAGACUAACUACUGCGAAAGCAUUUGCCAAGGAUGUUUUCAUUAAUCAGGAACGAAAGUUAGGGGAUCGAAGACGAUCAGAUACCGUCGUAGUCUUAACCAUAAACUAUGCCGACUAGGGAUCGGACGAUGUUAUUUUUUGACUCGUUCGGCACCUUACACGAAAGUAUAAGUUUCUGGGUUNUGGGGGGAAUAUNGNCCCAAGGGUNAAACUUAAAGAAAUUGACGGAANGGCACCNCCAGGGGUGGAGCCUGCGGCUUAUUUGACUCAACACGGGGAAACUCACCAGGUCCAGACACAAGUAGGAUUGACAGAUUGAGAGCUCUUUCUUGAUUUUGUGGGUGGUGGUGCAUGGCCGUUCUUAGUUGGUGGAGUGAUUUGUCUGCUUAAUUGCGAUAACGAACGAGACCUUAACCUGCUAAAUAGCCCGUAUUGCUUUGGCAGUACGCUGGCUUCUUAAAGGGACUAUCGGCUCAAGCCGAUGGAAGUUUGAGGCAAUAACAGGUCUGUGAUGCCCUUAGAUGUUCUGGGCCGCACGCGCGUUACACUGACAGAGCCAGCGAGUUCUUCCUUGACCGAAAGGUCCGGGUAAUCUUGUUAAACUCUGUCGUGCUGGGGAUAGAGCAUUGCAAUUAUUGCUCUUCAACGAGGAAUCCCUAGUAAGCGUAAGUCAUCAACUUGCGCUGAUUACGUCCCUGCCCUUUGUACACACCGCCCGUCGCUACUACCGAUUGAAUGGCUCAGUGAGGCUUUCGGACUGGCCCAGAGAGGUGGGCAAC
rnacentral:rRNA from 1 species